rnacentral:rRNA from 1 species
AAUCGACCUCAAAUCAG